UUUGACAGUCAUACCCCUGACUCUGCACAGGCUCAUUUGGUCUCAGAAGCUAAGCAGGGUCUGACCUGUUUAGUGCUUGGAUGGGAGAUCCAGGGAGAAGUCUGUUGUUAAUC
rnacentral:rRNA from 1 species